AACCUCCGCAAUGUGAGAAAUCGCGACGGGGGGAUCCCAAGUGCCAUUCUUAACGGGAUGGCUUUUCAUUAGUGUAAAGAGCUUUUGGAAUAAGAGCUGGGCAAGACCGGUGCCAGCCGCCGCGGUAACACCGGCAGCUCUAGUGGUAGCAAUUUUUAUUGGGCCUAAAGCGUCCGUAGCCGGUUUAAUAAGUCUCUGGUGAAAUCCUGUAGCUUAACUGUGGGAAUUGCUGGAGAUACUAUUAGACUUGAGACCGGGAGAGGUUAGAGGUACUCCCAGGGUAGAGGUGAAAUUCUGUAAUCCUGGGAGGACCGCCUGUUGCGAAGGCGUCUAACUGGAACGGUUCUGACGGUGAGGGACGAAAGUUAGGGGCGCGAACCGGAUUAGAUACCCGGGUAGUCCUAACUGUAAACGAUGCGGACUUGGUGUUGGGGUGGUUUUGAGCUGUCUCAGUGCCGAAGGGAAGCUGUUAAGUCCGCCGCCUGGGAAGUACGGUCGCAAGACUGAAACUUAAAGGAAUU
rnacentral:rRNA from 1 species